ACACAUCAAAGUUAAGGACACCAUGUCCUUAACUUUUACAAUGCACACAUCAAAGUUAAGGACACCAUGUCCUUAAGUUUUUCACUGCACACAUCCAAGUUAAAGACACCAUGUCCUUAACAUUUUCACUGCACACAUCAAAGUUAAGGAUAGAUUGUCCUUAACUUUUACAAAGCACACAUCAAAGUUAAGGACACCAUGUCCUUAAGUUUUAUAAUACACACAUCCAAGUUAAGGACACCAUAUCCUUAACAUUUUCACUGCACACAUCCAAGUUAAGGACAACUUGUCCUUAACUUUUACAAUGCACACAUCAAAGUUAAGGACACCAUGUCCUUAACUUUUACAAUGCACACAUCCAAGUUAAGGACACCAUGUCCUUAACUUUUUCACUGCACACAUCAAAUUUAAGGACAUCAUGUCCUUAACUUUUA
rnacentral:lncRNA from 1 species